CUCUGCUGCAACAAAACAGCACAGCAGCAGCCUAGAACUAGCAACCUGUGAAAAAGGCAUACAAAUGCUAAGAGGCGAGCUGAUCAUAGAGCUCAUUGUGCUCAAUUCUUAAGAAAAAUUGGGACUAUAUAGAAAGGUAGUAGUCAUUCCUCCUCCCUAUUUCUCUGUCUGCUAGCUGUCAGGCACCCAGGCUGCCCUGCUACAUACUUUUGUUUCUUUGUCAUUUUUCAUUUUACUUUUUCUUGCUUUGUACAGAAGUGGAGGGGCCAGCUGUAGUUUCUCACUGUCAGUUUCUCAAUUCAUUUUCCCCCUUUGCUGUUUCACUUGCUCUGUAAGAUACGAUUCAUUAAUCCAGAGGGCACACAACUCGCUGGCUCGGCAAGCUGAG
rnacentral:lncRNA from 11 species